rnacentral:rRNA from 1 species
AGAGUUUGAUCAUGGCUCAGAUUGAACGCUGGCGGCAGGCCUAACACAUGCAAGUCGAGCGGUAGCACAGAGAGCUUGCUCUCGGGUGACGAGCGGCGGACGGGUGAGUAAUGUCUGGGAAACUGCCUGAUGGAGGGGGAUAACUACUGGAAACGGUAGCUAAUACCGCAUAACGUCGCAAGACCAAAGUGGGGGACCUUCGGGCCUCAUGCCAUCAGAUGUGCCCAGAUGGGAUUAGCUAGUAGGUGGGGUAACGGCUCACCUAGGCGACGAUCCCUAGCUGGUCUGAGAGGAUGACCAGCCACACUGGAACUGAGACACGGUCCAGACUCCUACGGGAGGCAGCAGUGGGGAAUAUUGCACAAUGGGCGCAAGCCUGAUGCAGCCAUGCCGCGUGUGUGAAGAAGGCCUUCGGGUUGUAAAGCACUUUCAGCGGGGAGGAAGGCGAUAAGGUUAAUAACCUUGUCGAUUGACGUUACCCGCAGAAGAAGCACCGGCUAACUCCGUGCCAGCAGCCGCGGUAAUACGGAGGGUGCAAGCGUUAAUCGGAAUUACUGGGCGUAAAGCGCACGCAGGCGGUCUGUCAAGUCGGAUGUGAAAUCCCCGGGCUCAACCUGGGAACUGCAUUCGAAACUGGCAGGCUAGAGUCUUGUAGAGGGGGGUAGAAUUCCAGGUGUAGCGGUGAAAUGCGUAGAGAUCUGGAGGAAUACCGGUGGCGAAGGCGGCCCCCUGGACAAAGACUGACGCUCAGGUGCGAAAGCGUGGGGAGCAAACAGGAUUAGAUACCCUGGUAGUCCACGCCGUAAACGAUGUCGAUUUGGAGGUUGUGCCCUUGAGGCGUGGCUUCCGGAGCUAACGCGUUAAAUCGACCGCCUGGGGAGUACGGCCGCAAGGUUAAAACUCAAAUGAAUUGACGGGGGCCCGCACAAGCGGUGGAGCAUGUGGUUUAAUUCGAUGCAACGCGAAGAACCUUACCUGGUCUUGACAUCCACAGAACUUUCCAGAGAUGGAUUGGUGCCUUCGGGAACUGUGAGACAGGUGCUGCAUGGCUGUCGUCAGCUCGUGUUGUGAAAUGUUGGGUUAAGUCCCGCAACGAGCGCAACCCUUAUCCUUUGUUGCCAGCGGUUCGGCCGGGAACUCAAAGGAGACUGCCAGUGAUAAACUGGAGGAAGGUGGGGAUGACGUCAAGUCAUCAUGGCCCUUACGACCAGGGCUACACACGUGCUACAAUGGCAUAUACAAAGAGAAGCGACCUCGCGAGAGCAAGCGGACCUCAUAAAGUAUGUCGUAGUCCGGAUUGGAGUCUGCAACUCGACUCCAUGAAGUCGGAAUCGCUAGUAAUCGUAGAUCAGAAUGCUACGGUGAAUACGUUCCCGGGCCUUGUACACACCGCCCGUCACACCAUGGGAGUGGGUUGCAAAAGAAGUAGGUAGCUUAACCUUCGGGAGGGCGCUUACCACUUUGUGAUUCAUGACUGGGGUGAAGUCGUAACAAGGUAACCGUAGGGGAACCUGCGGUUGGAUCACAU